rnacentral:rRNA from 1 species
UACGAGUGCCCCAAGCGUUAUCCGGAAUUAUUGGGCGUAAAGGGUGUGUAGGUGGUUCUGUUAGUCUUCUGUUAAAGCUCCCGGCUUAACCGGGAAAGUGCAGAGGAAACGGCAGAACUAGAGGAUGUGAGAGGUAAGCGGAACUCAUGGUGUAGGGGUGAAAUCCGUUGAUAUCAUGGGGAACACCAAAAGCGAAGGCAGCUUACGUGGCGCAUUCCUGACACUGAAACACGAAAGCGUGGGUAGCGAAUGGG